GGGGCUGUAGUUCAAUGGCAGAACUUCUGCUUCCCAAGCAGACAGCGCGGGUUCGAUUCCCGUCAGCCCCUCGA
rnacentral:tRNA from 1 species